GGUCCCAUAGCUCAGUUGGUUAGAGCGUCGUACUAAUACUCCUCGUCUUCCGGGAUGAUCAGUAUCAAGUAAUGCGAAGGUCUUGGGUUCAACCCCCAAUGGGACCA
rnacentral:tRNA from 1 species